rnacentral:lncRNA from 1 species
CACAAUUAACCUCUAACUUUUACUUUUCGCAUUUUAAUUUCCGCUCCUAACAUUUUAUUUUUUGUCAUUUACCUUAUGCACUUUUAUUUUUAUUUCAUAUUAUUUUUGCUACAUCAUUGUACAUUCUUCAUUCAUCUCAUCUAAAAAUGACUAAAAAUGGAUAAGACUUCAAAAAUAAAAAAGGAUAAUUCGCAAACAUGUAAUGGACAUGAGAAUGGACUUAGAGAUUGUUGUUAGGACCCUUGCAAAAGACCUUGGACAAAUAUUCAACCCGAACAUGGAAAGAGCAUUCAAGAUCCAAGACAAAUUGUAAUCUUUUAUGUGCUUUCUAGUUUAGGACACAAUUGCACACACAUGGAUUUCUCUUGGGCUACCUCACAAUGAGACCAUUUAUUUCCUACACUCCCUUGUACUUUACAUGUACCCCCUCCCCUUUCCCAUGUACGCAUUUACUUGUUUUCUUUUAUUGCUUGUUAGAUAUUCCUUAGGCAUUAGGAACGUUCACCCACUCAAAAUCGAUAACCAAACCCUUGAUCCAACGUCAAGCGGUCUUUUUU